UACAAAGGUCUCAAGCGUUGUUUCGGAUUCAUUGGGCGUAAAGGGUGCGUAGGCGGCGCGGUAAGUCGGGUGUGAAAUUUCGAGGCUUAACUUCGAAACUGCAUUCGAUACUGCCGUGCUUGAGGACUGGAGAGGAGACUGGAAUUUACGGUGUAGCGGUGAAAUGCGUAGAUAUCGUAAGGAAGACCAGUGGCGAAGGCGGGUCUCUGGACAGUUCCUGACGCUGAGGCACGAAGGCCAGGGGAGCAAACGGG
rnacentral:rRNA from 1 species